rnacentral:rRNA from 1 species
AGCAGCCGCGGUAAUUCCAGCUCCAAUAGCGUAUAUUAAAGUUGUUGCAGUUAAAAAGCUCGUAGUUGAAUUUCGGGGUUAGUAGGUUGGUCGUGCCUCAGGUAUGUACUGAUCUCACUGAUUCCUCCUUCCUGAUGAACCGUAAUGCCAUUAAUUUGGUGUUGCGGGGAAACUGGACUGUUACUUUGAAAAAAUUAGAGUGUUUAAAGCAGGCUAACGCUUGAAUACAUUAGCAUGGAAUAAUGAAAUAGGACGUUCGAUCCUAUUUUGUUGGUUUCUAGGAUUGACGUAAUGAUUAAUAGGGAUAGUUGGGGGCAUUAGUAUUCAAUUGUCAGAGGUGAAAUUCUUGGAUUUAUUGAAGACUAACUACUGCGAAAGCAUUUGCCAAGGAUGUUUUCAUUAAUCAAGAACGAAAGUUAGGGGAUCGAAGACGAUCAGAUACCGUCGUAG